rnacentral:rRNA from 1 species
GACGAACGCUGGCGGCGUGCUUAACACAUGCAAGUCGAGCGGUAAGGCCCUUUCGGGGGUACACGAGCGGCGAACGGGUGAGUAACACGUGGGUGACCUGCCCUCAGCUCUGGGAUAAGCCUGGGAAACUGGGUCUAAUACUGGAUAUGACUCCACGGUGCAUGUCGUGGGGUGGAAAGCCUUGUGCGGCUGAGGAUGGGCCCGCGGCCUAUCAGCUUGUUGGUGGGGUGAUGGCCUACCAAGGCGACGACGGGUAGCCGGCCUGAGAGGGCGACCGGCCACACUGGGACUGAGACACGGCCCAGACUCCUACGGGAGGCAGCAGUGGGGAAUCUUGCGCAGUGGGCGAAAGCCUGACGCAGCGACGCCGCGUGAGGGAUGAC